rnacentral:rRNA from 1 species
GAUGAACGCUAGCGGCAGGCCUAACACAUGCAAGUCGAGGGGUAACAUUUGUGCUUGCACAAGAUGACGACCGGCGCACGGGUGCGGAACGCGUAUGGAACCUGCCCUUGUCAGGGGAAUAGCCCAGAGAAAUUUGGAUUAAUGCCCCAUGGUAUCCAUUUACCACAUGGUAUAUGGAUUAAAGAUUUAUCGGACAAGGAUGGCCAUGCGUACCAUUAGUCAGAUGGUGAGGUAACGGCUCACCAUAACUACGAUGGUUAGGGGCCCUGAGAGGGGGAUCCCCCACACUGGUACUGAGACACGGACCAG